rnacentral:rRNA from 1 species
CAGCAGCCACGGGAAUACGUAGGAGGCAAGCGUUGUCCGGAAUUAUUGGGCGUAAAGGGCUCGCAGGCGGUUUCUUAAGUCUGAUGUGAAAGCCCCCGGCUCAACCGGGGAGGGUCAUUGGAAACUGGGAAACUUGAGUGCAGAAGAGGAGAGUGGAAUUCCACGUGUAGCGGUGAAAUGCGUAGAGAUGUGGAGGAACACCAGUGGCGAAGGCGACUCUCUGGUCUGUAACUGACGCUGAGGAGCGAAAGCGUGGGGAGCGAACAGGAUUAGAUACCCCUGUAGUCCCUGUCUCUUAUAC